rfam:Candidatus Sodalis pierantonius str. SOPE, complete genome.
GCGGGUGGCUGAAUUAGAGAUCGGCGCCCAUCUAUUUCACAAUCAUUUUGGAGUGUUAUAAUGUCUCUAAGUGUUGAAGCGAAAGCGAAAAUUGUUUCUGAUUUCGGCCGUGAUGCC